CGUAGGGAGCGAGCGUUAUCCGGAUUUAUUGGGUGUAAAGGGUGCGUAGGCGGUAAUACAGGUCUGUGGUAUAAGCCCGAAGCUUAACUUCGGUUCGCCACAGAAACCGUAUAACUAGAGUAUGGUAGAGGCAAGUGGAAUUUCUAGUGUAGCGGUAAAAUGCGGAGAUAUUAGAAGGAACACCAGUGGCGAAGGCGACUUGCUGGGCCAAAACUGACGCUGAGGCACGAAAGCGUGGGGAGCGAA
rnacentral:rRNA from 1 species